GGUGAACGCUGGCGGCGUGCUUAACACAUGCAAGUCGAACGAUGAAGCUGGAGCUUGCUCCGGUGGAUUAGUGGCGAACGGGUGAGUAACACGUGAGCAAUCUGCCCUUGACUCUGGGAUAACUGCGGGAAACUGUAGCUAAUACCGGAUACGACGCCUUGGGGCAUCCCACGGGCGUGGAAAGAAUUUCGGUCAAGGAUGAGCUCGCGGCCUAUCAGCUAGUUGGUGAGGUAAUGGCUCACCAAGGCGACGACGGGUAGCCGGCCUGAGAGGGUGACCGGCCACACUGGGACUGAGACACGGCCCAGACUCCUACGGGAGGCAGCAGUGGGGAAUAUUGCGCAAUGGGCGAAAGCCUGACGCAGCAACGCCGCGUGAGGGAUGAAGGCCUUCGGGUUGUAAACCUCUUUUAUCAGGGAAGAAGCGAAAGUGACGGUACCUGAAGAAAAAGCACCGG
rnacentral:rRNA from 1 species